rnacentral:piRNA from 1 species
UACAGCCUAAUGGAUGUCCUGCUUGAG